rnacentral:rRNA from 1 species
AUUGAACGCUGGCGGCAGGCCUAACACAUGCAAGUCGAACGAGUGGCGGACGGGUUAGUAAUGUCUGGGAAACUGCCCGAUGGAGGGGGAUAACUACUGGAAACGGUAGCUAAUACCGCAUACCAUCGGAUGUGCCCAGAUGGGAUUAGCUAGUGGGUGGGGUAACGGCUCACCUAGGCGACGAUCCCUAGCUGGUCUGAGAGGAUGAGCAGUCACACUGGAACUGAGACACGGUCCAGACUCCUACGGGAGGCAGCAGUGGGGAAUAUUGGACAAUGGGCGCAAGCCUGAUGCAGCCAUGCCGCGUGGAUGAAGAAGGCCUUCGGGUUGUAAAGUACUUUAAGCGGGGAGGCGUUACUCGCAGAAGAAGCACCGGCUAACUCCGUGCCAGCAGCCGCGGUAAUAC